rnacentral:rRNA from 1 species
CGGGGCAGAUAGACAGGUGGUGCAUGGUUGUCGUCAGCUCGUGUCGUGAGAUGUUAGGUUAAGUCCUGCAACGAGCGCAACCCCUAUUGUUAGUUGCUACCAUUAAGUUGAGCACUCUAAUAAGACUGCCCGGGUUAACCGGGAGGAAGGUGGGGAUGACGUCAAAUCAUCAUGCCCCUUAUGUCCAGGGCAACACACGUGCUACAAUGGUGAGUACAAUGAGAUGCAAACCCGUGAGGGGGAGCAAAACUAUAAAACUCAUCCCAGUUCGGAUUGCAGGCUGCAACUCGCCUGCAUGAAGCCGGAGUUGCUAGUAAUCGCGAAUCAGCAUGUCGCGGUGAAUACGUUCCCGGGCCUUGUACACACCGCCCGUCACACCAUGAGAGUUGGCAACACCCGAAGUCCGUGAGUUAACCGUAAGGAGACAGCGGCCGAAGGUGGGGUCAAUGAUUGGGGUGAAGUCGUAACAAGGUAGCCGUAGGAGAACCUGCGGCU